CCAAGGUGCCUUAACCUUUUGUACCCAGUCCGAGGCACGGGCGCCCGGAUCCUGCUGCCCUGCCACGUGCGCGGGUCUGACCGCUCCCACCCAGACACCCAGGAGCGCUGGCCCCCUGCCUCCUCCCCCAUCGCCCGACCUUUCCCAAAUGAACAACAGUAGAAAGACUCGGGGCUUUGGAAUCAGAUUCGCUGGGCUCCAGCUCAGGAUUCUCUGCUUUUUAGGUGGGUGGUCUUGGACAAACUCGGAUGCUGUGUUCCAGUUUGCAAAAUGGAGAGCCGCUGUCUCGUGAGGUUGCUGGCAGGAUUUAUUGACACCGGCAGGAAUUUACGCCUCCAACCCAAACCUCAGAGUAAAGCCUAACCCUGACUUGGGGCCCUGCCGCCCCGCACCUCCCUGCCCCCCCCCGGCCACCCCCCCCCCACCCCGCCCCAGUUCUCAUCCAGUCUUUGCUGGGCGAUGCUCCCAACAACGGAUCCUGGCUCUGCCUCCAAACGAUGGUGGGACCUCUCAAAAGACCUCGGUUUUGAAAUGAGAGCGACAGUGCCUGGCCUACCUUCGUGGGGAAGAUGAUGUCAUGAGGCCUAAUGAGAUCACAUCCGUGACAAUGCUGUGGAAUUACAGCUCUCUCCAUCAGCUGACUCCCCACGCUGGUAUCCACCCUCCCUGGCCCUUUCCUGGCGCCCCUCUGUGAUCCCAGGAACGGAGCUGUGGAUGUGAACGGAGCUUGGACGCCCCCACUUCUGGCUGACUUCACUCCACCCCAUCCUCCAGCUUCUGAGGAACAAAAGGGUUGAAGCUGGACUCACAGAGGAAGGUCACCUCCACCAACACACAGGGAGGCUCCAAGUACAGUACGAAUGGACCCAAAGCAGAGCACUUAUAGAAGCAGAGUCACUGAAAUAAAGUGCAAGAGUCAAAUUGCCCAGUUUCCAGUGUAAAGAAGCCAGAAGAGCCACAGGCUGCUCAUGUAGGAAAUGGGAGGCACGCAUUGAUGAGCAAACGCAUGUAAAGUGUUUAGCAAGGGUUUGCCGUAUACUAAGCAUUCAAUCAGUGGUAGCAAUGUUAAUAGUUUGUAUUAACAAUAAUAACUUCAGUGUCCUAUUUUUUUUAAUUUUUAUUGAAAUGUAGUUGAUUUACAGUGUUGUGUUAGUUUCAGGUGUCAAUGUCCUAUUUUUAAUGUUACAAGGAAUUUUUAGUAGUCUGUGCCAACUGUCAAUGCCAUUACACAUAGCCCGGCACAAAAGGAGAAUUUCUUUCAUUGUUUGGGAUAAAUGCCUAUUUACUCAGCAAGUUUAAAGUCUUGAGACACGUGGUAUUCAACUGUUCAAUAAAAUUCUGUUUAAAAAAAGAUGGUGAGACG